rnacentral:lncRNA from 1 species
CUGUGCACACCAACCAGUGUAGGAGACCUCAUGGCUCCCGGGUAAAGAAGAAGAGGUACCCACAAGAAGAUGACUUCCAUCAUACAGUCUUCAGCAACCUUGAAAGAUUGGACAAGCUUCAGCCCACUCUUGAAGCCUCUGAGGAGUCUCUAGUUCACAAGGACAGAGGAGAUGGAGAGAGGCCAGUCAACGCGAGGGUAAGGUUGCCUUGCUUUCUCUGAAAUAGAAAUGUUCCUUUCUUGGUGUCUUUCUUUUUCAACUGACUUUACAUGUGAAAAAAUGACAAUGUCCAUGACAGGUAUUAAAU